rnacentral:tRNA from 1 species
GGCCUGAUGAUGGAAUUGGCAUACAUGCUUGACUCAAAAUCAAGAUUUUACCGGUUCAAGUCCGGUUCAGGCUACCA